GACGAACGCUGGCGGCGUGCUUAACACAUGCAAGUCGAACGCUGAAGCUCAGCUUUUGUUGGGUGGAUGAGUGGCGAACGGGUGAGUAACACGUGAGUAACCUGCCUCCUUCUUUGGGAUAACGCCCGGAAACGGGUGCUAAUACUGGAUAUUCACUGGUCUUCGCAUGGGGGUUGGUGGAAAGGGUUUUUCUGGUGGGGGAUGGGCUCGCGGCCUAUCAGCUUGUUGGUGGGGUGAUGGCCUACCAAGGCUUUGACGGGUAGCCGGCCUGAGAGGGGGACCGGUCACAGUGGGACUGAGAUACGGCCCAGACUCCGACGGGAGGCAGCAGUGGGGAAGAUGGCACAAUGGGCGCAAGACUGAUGCAGCGACGACGCGUGAGGGAUGGGGGCCUGCGGGUUGUGAACCUCUUUCGCUCAUGGUCAAGCCGCAAAAAUGGUUGUGGUGAGGGUAGUGGGUAAAGAAGCGCCGGCUAACUACGUG
rnacentral:rRNA from 1 species